CCUACGGGAGGCAGCAGUGAGGAAUAUUGGUCAAUGGUCGGGAGACUGAACCAGCCAAGCCGCGUGAGGGAGGAAGGUACAGAGUAUCGUAAACCUCUUUUGUCAGGGCACAAAGACUGGGACGCGUCCCCGGAUGAGUGUACCUGAAGAAAAAGCAUCGGCUAACUCGGUGCCAGCAGCCGCGGUAAUACGGGGGAUGCGAGCGUUAUCCGGAUUUAUUGGGUUUAAAGGGGGCGCAGGCGGACUGUUAAGUCGGCGGGAAAACCCCGGGGCUCAACCCCGGCCUGCCGUUGAAACUGGGAGUCGUGAGUUGGAGAGAGGCAGGCGGAAUGCGGGGUGUAGCGGUGAAAUGCAUAGAUAUCGCGCAGAACUCCGAUGGCGAAGGCAGCAUGCCGGCUCCACACUGACGCUGAGGCACGAAAGCGUGGGUAUCGAACAGGAUUAGAUACCCCUGUAGUC
rnacentral:rRNA from 1 species